CCUACGGGCGGCAGCAGUGAGGAAUAUUGGUCAAUGGGCGAAAGUCUGAACCAGCCAAGUAGCGUGAAGGAUGACGGCCCUAUGGGUUGUAAACUGCUUUUAUAUGGGAAUAAAACGCUUUACGUGUGGGAUUUUGUAUGUACCAUAUGAAUAAGGAUCGGCUAACUCCGUGCCAGCAGCCGCGGUAAUACGGAGGAUCCGGGCGUUAUCCGGAUUUAUUGGGUUUAAAGGGAGCGUAGGUGGAUUGUUAAGUCAGUUGUGAAAUGUUGGGGCUCAACCGUAGAAUUGCAGUUGAAACUGGCAUUCUUGAGUACGGGAGAGGUAGGCGGAAUUCGUGGUGUAGCGGUGAAAUGCUUAGAUAUCACGAAGAACUCCGAUUGCGAAGGCAGUUUGCUGGACCGGAACUGACACUGAUGCUCGAAAGUGUGGGUAUCAAACAGGAUUAGAUACCCUUGUAGUC
rnacentral:rRNA from 1 species